rnacentral:rRNA from 1 species
AGAUUCCUACGGGAGGCAGCAGUGAGGAAUAUUGGUCAAUGGAGGCAACUCUGAACCAGCCAUGCCGCGUGCAGGAUGACGGUCCUAUGGAUUGUAAACUGCUUUUGUACAGGAAGAAACAUUGCUACGUGUAGCAACUUGACGGUACUGUAAGAAUAAGGAUCGGCUAACUCCGUGCCAGCAGCCGCCGGUAAUA